rnacentral:rRNA from 1 species
CUACGGGGCGCUGCAGUGGGGAAUAUUGCACAAUGAGCGAAAGCUUGAUGCAGCCAUACCGCGUGUGUGAAGAAGGCCCGAGGGUUGUAAAGCACUUUCAAUUGUGAGGAAGGUUCAGUAGUUAAUACCUACUGUUCUUGACGUUAACUUUAGAAGAAGCACCGGCUAACUCUGUGCCAGCAGCCGCGGUAAUACAGAGGGUGCAAGCGUUAUUCGGAAUUACUGGGCGUAAAGCGCGCGUAGGCGGACUAUUAAGUCAGUUGUGAAAGCCCUGGGCUCAACCGGGGAACUGCAUCUGAUACUGGUAGUCUAGAGUUUAAGAGAGGGAAGUGGAAUGCCAGGUGUAGCAGUGAGAUGCGUAGAUAUCUGGAGGAACAUCAGUGGCGAAGGCGACUUCCUGGCUUAAAACUGACGCUGAGGUGCGAAAGCGUGGGUAGCGAACGGGAUUAGAUACCCCGGUAGUC